rnacentral:rRNA from 1 species
CCUGGUGAUUAUAGCGAGAGCUGAACCACACGUUCCCAUCCCGAACACGACCGUGAAAACUCUUAGCGCUGAUGGUACU